UGGGGAAUAUUGCACAAUGGGGGAAACCCUGAUGCAGCAACGCCGCGUGAAGGAUGAAGGUUUUCGGAUUGUAAACUUCUUUUGUAGAGGACGAAAAAAAUGACGGUACUCUAAGAAUAAGCCACGGCUAACUACGUGCCAGCAGCCGCGGUAAUACGUAGGUGGCGAGCGUUAUCCGGAUUUACUGGGUGUAAAGGGCGAGUAGGCGGGACUGCAAGUCAGAUGUGAAAUACCGGGGCUCAACCCCGGGGCUGCAUUUGAAACUGUAGUUCUUGAGUGAUGGAGAGGCAGGCGGAAUUCCCGGUGUAGCGGUGGAAUGCGUAGAUAUCGGGAGGAACACCAGUGGCGAAGGCGGCCUGCUGGACAUUAACUGACGCUGAGGAGCGAAAGCGUGGGGAGCAAACA
rnacentral:rRNA from 1 species